rnacentral:rRNA from 1 species
UACGGAGGAUCCGAGCGUUAUCCGGAUUUAUUGGGUUUAAAGGGUGCGUAGGCGGUCUUGUAAGUCAGGGGUGAAAGACGGUGGCUCAACCAUCGCAGUGCCCUUGAUACUGCCGGACUUGAAUAUAGUUGAGGUGGGCGGAAUGUGACAAGUAGCGGUGAAAUGCAUAGAUAUGUCACAGAACACCGAUUGCGAAGGCAGCUCACUAAGCUAGUAUUGACGCUGAGGCACGAAAGCGUGGGGAUCAAACAGG